rnacentral:lncRNA from 1 species
CCUAGCAAAGUUGUCUUUCUGCAUCAAAGAAAAACAAUCAUUAGUAGUAUACACAAGGUUAUUCAAUUUGAAUCAAUUUGAAGAAAAUCAGAAUUCAUAAGCAUACAAAAAAGAAACAAAGCAAAAGAAGAAGAAGGUUACCCAAUAUCACCUCAUAUCCAAAGCUUUAUUCCAUCGAAAAAUAUAUAUGAAUGAGGCAAGCAGAAUUUUCCCCAUUCUAAGCUUGUACAUUAUAUAUACAUAACCAGUUUGAGGUUUGAAUGCAACUGAUGUGCAGACUACAGAGGCAAAGCUCUUAUAAAUGCCAAAAACGUAGCUCACCAGAUAUCUUAUAAAUGCCAAAAACGUAGCUCACCAGAUUUCUUUCAAGAAAAGAAGUCGGAGGAAAAUCAAAGUUCUGCAGCAGCUCUGAUCUCAACUCUAAUCUCAAGCUUCUACUUUAAUCCCUGCAACAAAAAGAAGAAGAAAAGACCAGUGUGUGGAUGGUAGACUCGGAGGGGAUUACCCGUCUAAGGCUGCUGCAAAGGUGAGUAACUUUUAUACAAAGAAAAUGUAGCUUCACUUGUUCCAGUAAAUUACAGCCAACCACAAAUUAAGAAAACUUAACUAAUUGCAAAUUGGUGGGGAGAGUUCGAUGAGGCUAUGAAGCAGCAACGUCGAGGAUGGACGACGACGACGGUGGUGGCUGGGCAGAGUUUGGCAUUCUGUGUUUAUAAUCCUCUCAGAUUAGAUUCUCUCAGCAAGAAGACAGUAGAAUGUGAUGCUGUAAAACUCAAUGCGGCAAUAAAAUUCCUCAUUCAAACUAAUGAAUUUAAGCUAAAAUGUAGGUUAUAAAGUUUCCAUUGUUAAAUCUAAACCCUAAGAAUUUGCUGAUUAUUACUCAAUAGGUAAAUCUUUCCAAAUUUUCAUAUUUCUAAAAUUUAGUACUAAUCAUAAUGAUAUGUAAUCUUUCCUAACAUAAUAAUUUUCCAUUGUUAAAUCUAAACCCUAAAAAUUGGCAGAUUAUUGAUCGAUUGGUAAAUCUUUCCCAAAUUUCAUUAUUCUAAAAUUGAGCACUGAUCAUAGUCAAUAAUUACAUUUCCUAAUUGAAUACUUACCAUGGCGAGGUGGCGGACUGUGUCGAUCUCGGCGGUGGCCGGCGCGGCGAAGGGAAUAGCAUCAUUCUCCUCUGUUUUGGCAUCCUCAUCAUUCAGCACACUAAAAAUAAUUUGCUCGAGCUCCUCUUCCCUGAAAUUCUCAACAAAAUCAUCAACCAAAUGAUCAAUCACAGUCAUGAAAAUAGAUUCAGGAUCCUCUUCGAUUUCUGUUUCUGCCUCUGAGUCAGG